AGCUUCAUGAGUUUAUGUCAAAGUUGUUGUAGUUAAAAAGCUCGUAGUUGAAAGGAAGAGCAGGUUUGUGGGUGUGGCAGUGUGGCGCAAGCGAAAGUUUGUGUCAACUGCUGAACUCCACUGCUCUUUUAACGGUUCGAGUGGCAACAUUCGAGCCUGUUUAUUUUGAAAAAAUUGGACUGAUCAAAAGAAGAUUUGCAUUUCGCAAACUUUGAAAUCUUUUAAACUUUUUAGCAUGAGAUAAUAAAACAAGACAUUGGUUUGGCGGGCGCGCAAGCGUGCGUCAGAGACACCUUUGUAAUGAUUAAUAGGGAUAAUUUGGGAUAUAUAUAUUAAGAAGUUAGAGGUGAAAUUCUUAGAUUUUCUUAAGAUAAACAUAUGCGAAAGCAUUUAUCAGAGAUAUUUUCA
rnacentral:rRNA from 1 species